rnacentral:rRNA from 1 species
GGGGGACCUUCGGGCCUCUUGCCAUCGGAUGUGCCCAGAUGGGAUUAGCUAGUAGGUGGGGUAACGGCUCACCUAGGCGACGAUCCCUAGCUGGUCUGAGAGGAUGACCAGCCACACUGGAACUGAGACACGGUCCAGACUCCUACGGGAGGCAGCAGUGGGGAAUAUUGCACAAUGGGCGCAAGCCUGAUGCAGCCAUGCCGCGUGUAUGAAGAAGGCCUUCGGGUUGUAAAGUACUUUCAGCGGGGAGGAAGGGAGUAAAGUUAAUACCUUUGCUCAUUGACGUUACCCGCAGAAGAAGCACCGGCUAACUCCGUGCCAGCAGCCGCGGUAAUACGGAGGGUGCAAGCGUUAAUCGGAAUUACUGGGCGUAAAGCGCACGCAGGCGGUUUGUUAAGUCAGAUGUGAAAUCCCCGGGCUA